rnacentral:rRNA from 1 species
AGAACGAACGCUGGCGGCAUGCCUAAUACAUGCAAGUCGAACGAACACUUCGGUGUUAGUGGCGCACGGGUGCGUAACGCGUGGGAAUCUGCCCUUGGGUUCGGAAUAACAGUUGGAAACGACUGCUAAUACCGGAUGAUGACGAAAGUCCAAAGAUUUAUCGCCCAGGGAUGAGCCCGCGUAGGAUUAGCUAGUUGGUGAGGUAAAGGCUCACCAAGGCGACGAUCCUUAGCUGGUCUGAGAGGAUGAUCAGCCACACUGGGACUGAGACACGGCCCAGACUCCUACGGGAGGCAGCAGUAGGGAAUAUUGGACAAGUGGGCGCAAGCCUGAUCCAGCAAUGCCGCGUGAGUGAAAAAUGAAGGCCGUUAGGGUUAGUAAAGUCUUCUUUUACCGAG